rnacentral:misc_RNA from 1 species
GUUUUUGAUGACAACUUGGCUGCCGAUGUAAUUGAAGAGAUGGGAGAUAGUAUGUGGGAGCCUCCUGAGGUGCAAGAUGCACUCGAUGAAGUGGGUCCACCAGCGAUACCUUUGAGUGUCAUAUCAAAGGCUGCUGAAAUUCAGCUUUUACAUGCUGUCGAUAAGGUUCUUCUAGGGAACAGGUGGUUGCGGAAAGCAACAGGAAUUCAACCCAAGUUCCCUUACAUGGUUGACUCGUUUGAAAAGAGGAGCGCAGCGUCUUUCCAG